GAUAAAUACAGCACAGGCAGAUUACAUUGCUCUUGUAAAGAUGUUUAUUUAUUUCUCCCUGCUUCUAUCUUAAAAUUUACCAGAGAACAAAAAGAUAUAGGAAGAGGGAGAGCACUUUGGAAAAGUUGCCAUAGUUUUGAUAAGCCGAAUGAGGGAAAGCAAAAUGCUCCAACAGAAGAGAAGAGAGAGAGACAGAAAGAGAGAGACGAAGAGAGAAGCAGUACAUGACAG
ensembl:lincRNA